UACGUAGGGUGCAAGCGUUGUCCGGAAUUAUUGGGCGUAAAGAGCUCGUAGGCGGUCUGUCGCGUCUGCUGUGAAAACUCAGGCUUAACCCUGAGCUUGCAGUGGGUACGGGCAGACUAGAGUGCGGUAGGGGAGACUGGAAUUCCUGGUGUAGCGGUGAAAUGCGCAGAUAUCAGGAGGAACACCGGUGGCGAAAGGCGGGUU
rnacentral:rRNA from 1 species